GCAUCGCUGCAGCACUCACUACAGAUGAAACAGGUGAGCACCCCCCUGGACUCGACGGUCGAGAACCGUCAGAAAAAGAAGUAUCGAUAUCAUCGUAGUUUGAGCAGAGGAGGAAGUGUGUUUAAAUUAAUUAUUGAAAUUUUGAUCGAAGUUCAUUUAUUAUUAUUAUAAAUUUUCACCCACUGGGUAUACUGCAUUUCACCGUUCACGAGGAUAGUGAAGGAUUUUGAGUAAUCCGCAUAUAUUUGGUGAGCACGAUUGGUGAGCACUUUAAUUUCACAAUCUUAGGUUAGGGAUAAUUAAACGCACAUUUUGCAGUCAGGUUCAGACGAAUUAGUAGAGUGCCUACGACAACGAUUAGAGGGCUCAUCUUCAGCCAAUAGGAGUUUGAAGAUCGUCCUAGAAGAAGUCGUGGAAGUACAAAACCUCAAUUGAACUACAUUGGCUGAAAGCUAGAAGGUAGGAAAAACAAAUGUUACCCGUUUCGUAGCGCAUCCUUUCAACCUUAAUCCGCACUCUAAGAUCAUUGAAAAUUUACCUGUGAAAAACUUACUUCUAGAACGAAACUGUUUCGCUGUCAAUUCAUCACAAUUUAUAAAAAGAUAGACGGAUAGUUUUCGGACAUUUGAUACAAAGGGAAGACUUAAUGUGAGUAAACACGAAGCCUUUAUACCCCUUAUACAUACGAUUAAAGAAUAAAUUAUUUUCAGCUUUGAGCUACUGCACUAAAAGUCAGGUUGCUUCAAGGAGCUUCUGCGUGUCCGAACGACCCCAAAACAUCCUCAAAGAUUAACCCAAACCAUGUCGCAGAGAAGGAAGCAUACGGAAGGGUUUGACUGCGAGGGGUGCGAACGGUCAAACUCGGCGGACAACAUGGUUCAGUGCGAUGCGUGUCAAGGUUGGUACCACCUGGACUGCGCGAAUGUUUCGCCAGGAGUGGAGAAUCGUCGGUGGCACUGUACAGCGUGCCCUCCAGUAACUUCCAAACCGAUGAAGUCUGGCAAUAAGAAAACUGCUACUAGCGGCCUGACCCCGAGAGAGUUAAGCGAUGCUAGCUCGAAGAAGGGUGGUAAGGCCAGCGAUUGCAGAGGAAAAGAGACGCCGCUGGUUACCAGUGGAGUAUUGAAGGGUUCGUCGAUGGGUGGUGCGUCGUCUGUCAGCAACUGGACGCCGAAAAAGCACCCAGAAAACUCGAAGCAGGCUGUUAUUCUGGAUAGAUCCGUGCGCACCUCCAGUUCUCAAGCUCUAGCGCAGAAAGCGCUGUUACGUCUAAAAGAGAAACAGGAAUUGGAAGAGCGAAAGCUAGAAAACCAACAGCGUGAGUUGGAGAAAGCACGGGAGCGCCUGCGAAAGGAAAAGGAGCUGGAAGAAGAGGAAAAUGCGAUAACCAAGGAGCGAUUAGAGAUGCUGGAGAAGUUCAUGGAAGAGAAGCACGAUUUAGAGGAACAACUUGCGAUCGAUGAAGUAUCUUCCCAGCGCAGUUCCAACAGCGUUACAUCAUUGACACGGAGAUGGUUGAAAGACCAACUGUCGCGUAACGGAUCUAAACAGCAAGAGGCGAUAAAUGAAACAGUGGAGAACGAAGAAUACCCCGCUACGUUGCCAUCAGGGUUCGCGCACGAAUCGGAAGAACGAAAACGAGCUCUAGCGGCUAAACCUUUAAGACGCAAGCCUGAAGCGCCGACGGAAAGUGUUACGAUUGGGAAAACCCCCCCAGGUGAUGGAAGUCGUGACGGCGCGGCAUCGAGUUUUAACUACAAUGAAACGCCCAUUAUGCAACUGAGUGCAAACCAGAUUGCCGCGAGACAGCUAUGGCCGAAAAAGUUGCCAACGUUUUCGGGAGAUCCCGAAGAGUGGCCCAUAUUCUACAGCAGCUACUUGGAUUCAAACACUGCAUGUGGAUUCACACCGGUAGAAAACGUCAUUCGACUGAGAGAAUGUCUCAAGGGUCCGGCACGCGAUGCGGUGGUGACGAAGCUGAUGUUCCCACAUGCAGUUACGUCGAUAAUAGAAACCCUUCGAAGGUUGUACGGACGGCCGGAGUUGCUCGUGAAGAAUCUUCUGGGAAAAGUCCGGCGCUUGGAGACACCGAAACCGGAACGAUUAGACAGUCUCAUCAAUUUCGGAAUGGCAGUUCAACAGCUGUGCGACCAUCUCGAAGCCGCGAACCUUCGGAGCCAUCUGACAAAUCCGACAUUGCUAGAAGAACUCGUGGAUAAGUUGCCGGCAGCGAUUAAGCUCGAUUGGGUUCGGCACAAGCGAGCGUUCAAAGAUCCGUCGCUAAAGCAGUUUGGUGAGUUUAUGGACAGGCUGGUGGUAGAUGCUAGUGAGGUGACCAUUCUCGUGCAUCCGAAGAACGAAAGUGUCCAAACAGAACGAUCCAGACAGAACCAAAGGACUCAUAUUUACACACACAACGACAUUAUUGCCACAGCUGAUAACGCUCCGCCCCGGAAACCGUGUCCGAUCUGUGCUAAAUUGGAUCAUCGUGUACGGAACUGCGCUGAUUUCAAACAAAUGAGUCUUGAUGCACGUUGGAGAGCAAUAGACGAAAACAGGCUUUGCACCGUGUGCCUUUUCGACCACGGUAACUGGACCUGCAAGUCCAGAUUCUACUGCAACGUCGGAAACUGCCGUGCACGGCAUCACCCAUUGUUACAUCGAGAGGAGAUAGCGACUGUGAUGAAAGCUGACUGCAAGGCUCAUCAGCUAUCAACGGCGAUUAUUUUAUUCCGAGUUGUACCGAUCACGCUGUUCAAUGGUUGGAAGAGUAUUGACACCUUUGCCUUCCUUGAUGAAGGUUCCUCUCACACUUUGAUCGAUGCAAGUGUAACGCGCAGCCUCGGAGUCGUGGGGGUCUCAGAGCCACUGGAGUUGACGUGGACUUCGAACGUGGUCCGCAAAGAGUGUUCGUCGGAGCGGGUAGACUUGGUAAUUUCAGCUAGAGGGGGACUGGAACGGUACAAACUCGUGGCGGCGCGCACAGUUGGCGCACUGAACCUACCGAAACAAAGCUUGCGGUUAAACGAACUGACCAAACAGUUCAAGCACCUCAAGGACGUCCCCGUGGUGCCAUUUGAGAACGCUGAACCAAAAGUGCUUAUCGGUUUACGGAACCUUGAUCUGUUUGCCCCGAUCGAGAGCCGAGUAGGUCGACCAGGGCAACCAAUUGCAGUGAAGAGUGCUCUCGGCUGGACAAUUUAUGGACCAUGCGGAUGCAAUAAGGACCAGGACUCAUUUAUAGGACUCCACGGACAUAUAUCCAACGCAGAACAAGAGCUGAACGAGAUGAUCCGGCAACAAUUUAUGCUAGAAGACACCGGGAUCGCACCUAUUACACUACCGGAGUCGGCGGAAAAUGCACGAGCGAGACAAAUCUUAGAAAAAACCACGAUUCGAGAGAAUGGAAGAUUUGUAACCGGACUAUUAUGGAAGAGUGACGAGAUAUGCUUCCCAGACAGUCUACCGAUGGCGACAAAAAGACUAAAGAAUCUUGAGCGUAAACUGGCCAAGGAUGCCGAACUAAGACAAAACGUACACAAACAAAUUCGCGAGUAUAUUGAGAACAGCUACGCACACAAAGCGACGCAGGAGGAGCUGGGUACAGCCAAUUCCAACCGUGUAUGGUAUCUACCGCUAAACGUGGUGGCGCACCCUAGAAAACCACACAAAACGAGGCUCGUAUGGGAUGCGGCUGCGAAAGUAGACGGUGUGUCGCUGAAUUCUCAACUGUUGAAAGGGCCAGAUCUACUUGUGUUGCUACCGGGAGUAAUCUGCAAAUUUCGCGAAAGGCGUAUCGGGUUUGGAGGCGACAUCGAAAAGAUGUUUCAUCAAAUCCGAAUUAAGCCCGAAGAUACUCAUUCUCAACGAUUCCUGUUCCGCUUCGAUGAGAGUCAAACACCAGAUGUCUAUAUUAUGGACGUUGCAACAUUCGGUGCCUCUUACUCGCCAUGUUCGGCGCAGCACGUAAUGCAUAGAAAUGCGGACGAAAGCAGAGAGGAAUUUCCCGAAGCAGUUGCAGCCAUUAAAGAGAAAACAUAUAUGGAUGACUACUUCGACAGUGCAGACACGCCAGAAGAAGCAUCGCACCGAGCACAGCAAGUGAAACUGAUCCAUUCUCGAGGCGGAUUGAACAUGCGGAACUGGAUCAGCAGCAGUGACGAGGUCCUGCAACACCUAAAGGAGCCAUCUCAGCAAAGGCUGCUUUCUAUCGAUUGCAACGAGGAAGAGAAAGGACAACGGGUUCUUGGAAUAGCGUGGGACUCGAGAAAAGAUAUUUUUGUAUUCUCAACAAGCUGGCACGGUGAGCUGGCUCCGUACGUGCUAGAAGACAAGCGGCCAACGAAACGGAUCGCUCUGCGCAUUAUCAUGAGCCUCUUUGAUCCCCUAGGGUUGCUCGCACCCUUCCUGAUUCAUGGGCGGAUGUUGAUUCAAGAUCUCUGGCGGCUCAACUUGGGUUGGGACACCGAAAUAGCCAACAGAGAGUACGAAAAGUGGCGACAAUGGGUUCACCUGCUUCCCGGCAUCAGUAGCCUAGAGAUCCCGCGCUGUUAUUUCGGAAACGCUCAUUCCAACCUCUACGAGUCGCUACAGCUGCACGUUUUCACCGACGCUAGCGAAUUGGGAUACGGUUGUGCCGCGUACUUCCGCGUCUUGAUAAACCGAGAAGUACGAGUAGCCUUAGUUAUGGCUAGAAGCAAAGUGGCCCCGCUUAAGUACCAAUCCAUUCCGCGGAUGGAACUACAGGCGGCGCUCUUGGGAGCGAGAAUGAUGCACACUGUAAGCAACAACCACACACUGCCAAUCAGAGAAAAGUACGUGCAUACAGACUCAGAAGUGGUACUUGCCUGGAUUCGCUCGCAACACCGAAACUACAAACAGUUUGUCGCGUACCGAGUCGGAGAAAUUCUGUCGUUAACAGAGCCGGAGAACUGGCGACACGUGCCUUCAAAGGAAAAUUUAGCGGACUGCUUGACAAAGUGGGGCAAAGAUACGGUGCCCGAAUCGAACGGAAGGUGGCUCAAUGGCAAGAAUUCGUUCCUCUACCAGGACAUGGAAAACUGGCCGAAACAAAAGCAGAUAGCGGAAACUCCCGAGGAGCUGAGAGCUCACCUUCUAUUGCACCAUGUUGCGGUACCCGAAAGUCUGAUAGACAUUGGACGGUUUUCAAAGUGGAACGUGCUGCUUCGAACUGUGGCAUUACUGGGUCGGUUCAUCUCGAAUUGUCGUCGGAAGUGCAAAGGAUUUCCAAUCGAAGUCGUUAAGGCUACUGAAUGUCAAUGCAAGCUUUUACAACGCACGACUUCGGUCGAAAUCGUCCCGCUGCGUCAGCAAGAGUACUUAAAGGCCGAACAAUAUCUAUGGCGAAUAGCGCAGAGGGAUUUCUAUCCGGACGAAACUAGGAUUCUGCUAAACAACCGAGACGAACCGCAAUUAGGCAAAUGGGUGAAUCUUGAAAAAACUAGCCCAUUAUACAGACUGUCCCCCUUCGCUGAUCAGUUCGGUGUUAUCAGAGUUGAAGGCCGGACGGCCAAUGCAAGUUACGCGACAUUCGAUGCCCGGUUUCCAGUAAUACUACCAAAAGGUCACUUAAUCACCACAUUGCUACUGAACGAUUACCAUUGCCGGUUCGGCCACGCUAAUCGGGAGACGGUAGUCAACGAGGUCCGCCAGCGAUUUUACAUUCUUAACUUGCGAGCGACGGUGGGCAAGGUCAUGAGAGAAUGUCAGCGCUGUAAGAUUACAAAGUGUCAGCCACAGUACCCGCGAAUGGCACCUCUUCCCGAAGAACGUUUGACACCAUUUGUCAGACCGUUUUGUUAUGUGGGUGUGGACUACCUAGGACCACUUGACGUGUCGGUUGGACGUCGCAAGGAGAAAAGAUACGUGGCCGUUUUCACGUGUUUGGUCACGCGUGCCGUCCAUUUAGAAGUAGCCCACUGUCUAUCUACAGACUCGUGUAUCAUGGCAGUGAGAAGAUUCAUCCGCAGGCGAGGAUCGCCAGUGGAGAUAUGUUCGGACAAUGGUACCAACUUCGUCGGAGCAAGCAAUGAGCUGAUCAAGCAGAUCAAGAAUAUCAACAACGGAUGCGCAGACACGUUUACUGAUGCGCGCACUAAAUGGACGUUCAACCCACCGUCUGCGCCCCACAUGGGCGGCGUGUGGGAACGAAUGGUGAGGAGUGUCAAAGAAGCUUUGCGCGCUCUCGACGACGGGAGAAAGCUGAACGAUGAAAUAUUGCUCACGGUGCUGACUGAGGCGGAAUGUUUCAUAAACUCGCGGCCCCUAACGUACAUGCCGCAAGAGUCGGCGGGCGAGGAAGCGAUCACACCGAACCACUUUAUUCUCGGAAGCUCGUCGGCAGCUCACGACCCGCUUCGGACUCCAGUCGACUGGGCUGCGGCGCUGAGGAGUAGCUAUCAACGGUCACAAUAUCUGUCAGAAGCAGCAUGGAACCGUUGGCUGAAGGAGUAUUUCCCGACACUAAACAAACGACCGAAGUGGUUCGAAGAGAGCAAGCCAGUACAGGUUGGAGAUUUGGUUUACGUAGCAGAGGGGAGUAGACGAACGUGGAUACGCGGAAAGGUGCAGCAAGUUAUUGUAGGAAGCGAUGGCAGAAUCCGUCAGGCAGUAGUGCGAACGUCGAGUGGCAGAGAGCUGAAGCGACCGGUAGUCAAGUUAGCGGUUAUGGAGGUGGCAGCUGGUGGAUUCUGUGAGGAGCCCAGUAAUCCUCAUCAGGAUCCACGGGGCGGGGGAUGUUCUGGCAUCGCUGCAGCACUCACUACAGAUGAAACAGGUGAGCACCCCCCUGGACUCGACGGUCGAGAACCGUCAGAAAAAGAAGUAUCGAUAUCAUCGUAGUUUGAGCAGAGGAGGAAGUGUGUUUAAAUUAAUUAUUGAAAUUUUGAUCGAAGUUCAUUUAUUAUUAUUAUAAAUUUUCACCCACUGGGUAUACUGCAUUUCACCGUUCACGAGGAUAGUGAAGGAUUUUGAGUAAUCCGCAUAUAUUUGGUGAGCACGAUUGUCAGGUUCAGACGAAUUAGUAGAGUGCCUACGACAACGAUUAGAGGGCUCAUCUUCAGCCAAUAGGAGUUUGAAGAUCGUCCUAGAAGAAGUCGUGGAAGUACAAAACCUCAAUUGAACUACAUUGGCUGAAAGCUAGAAGGUAGGAAAAACAAAUGUUACCCGUUUCGUAGCGCAUCCUUUCAACCUUAAUCCGCACUCUAAGAUCAUUGAAAAUUUACCUGUGAAAAACUUACUUCUAGAACGAAACUGUUUCGCUGUCAAUUCAUCACAAUUUAUAAAAAGAUAGACGGAUAGUUUUCGGACAUUUGAUACAAAGGGAAGACUUAAUGUGAGUAAACACGAAGCCUUUAUACCCCUUAUACAUACGAUUAAAGAAUAAAUUAUUUUCAGCUUUGAGCUACUGCACUAAAAGUCAGGUUGCUUCAAGGAGCUUCUGCGUGUCCGAAC